ACUUUAACAUUUUGCAAUAACUUUUGCUAUAUUGAAUAUAGCAACUUGAUACUUGGCAUGCAUGUGUAUCUCAUGGAGCUGCACAUUUUGAGUGGUGAAAGGUCAAGGUCAUCCUUCAAGGUCAGAGGUCAAAUAUAUGUGGCCCAAAUUGCUUAUUUUAUGAAUACUUUUGCAAUAUUGAAGAUAGCAACUUGAUAUUUGGCAUGCAUGUGUAUCUCAUGGAGCUGCACAUUUUGAGUGGUGGAAGGUCAAGGUCAAGGUCAUCCUUCAAGGUCAGAGAUCAAAUAUAUGUGGCCCAAAUCGCUUAUUUUAUGAAUACUUUUGCAAUAUUGAAGAUAGCAACUUGAUAUUUGGCAUGCAUGUGUAUCUCAUGGAGCUGCACAUUUUGAGUGGUGAAAGGUCAAGGUCAAGGUCAUCCUUCAAGGUCAGAGGUCAAAUAUAUGUGGCCCAAAUCGCUUAUUUUAUAAAUACUUUUGCAAUAUUGAAGAUAGCAACUUGAUAUUUGGCAUGCAUGUGCAUCUCAUGGAGCUGCACAUUUUGAGUGGUGAAAGGUCAAGGUCAAGGUCAUCCUUCAAGGUCAGAGGUCAAAUAUAUGUGGCCCAAAUCGCUUAUUUUAUGAAUACUUUUGCAAUAUUGAAUAUAGCAACUUGAUAUUUGGCAUGCAUGUGUAUCUCAUGGAGCUGCACAUUUUGAGUGGUGAAGGGUCAAGGUCAUCCUUCACAAGGUCAAGGUCAUCCUUCAAAGUCAAACGUCAUAUAGGGGGACAUUGUGUUUCACAAACGCAUC